UUACAACAAAUUUACAUUCGGAGUUCAUUGCACCAAAAUCAUGACUUAUUUAAGCGUGAACUUCUAUUUCUGCAUGACCCAAUAUUAUUACACACACUUGCUUUUCUUGAUGAAGUGCAAACCUGGAAUGAUCGAAUUGGCGGGGGGACGCAUACCUCUGUAUUUUGUAUCCAAGGAUAUUGUUCGUGUGAUGCUUACCAGUGUGGAUGGAGAGACAAUUGAACCUAUGCAAUUAAAUCUGGC